rnacentral:lncRNA from 1 species
GUUAACCGCUCGACCACACAAGCCAGGAUCACAUGUACAGUGCCAAGUCCAAAACAACCCUGCCACCAAACCCUGCGAGAGGAUUUCUCCAACAAUAAAAACCACAACAAGGUUGGUGGCACUGGCAACAAAUCUUUGCAAUCUCCACGGCAAACAACCUUGUCCGGAUCGAAAGAACGAAAAAAAAAUUGUCAACAAAUAUUAUUUAUCACACAUCGAAGAGUUCAUCAGGUUUUACGGAUCAGUUCAUCACGCUGCUGCGCUUUCUAACAUCAUCAGCAGCAGCAGACAGCAGAGCAGCGUAUGUACAGCAUCAUCAUCAGUUCAUGAAUCAGAGAAGUUACAGAGAGAUUCUUCACAUUAGUAUCAUCGAGAAUCAUCAAGGAUUUCAGAUUGGUACCCAAUGGAACGGUGGGGGGGGGGGGGGGGGGGGGGGGGGGGGGGUUGUACAUCAUCACGGCCGGGAAACCCCUGACGGUAUCCAAGGGAUUAAGACGUACCAAAUUCCCCUAUCACCUGGCGGCGGCGGGCGAGGGGGCAGGGGCGCAGCGGGCGGAGGGGGACGAGGGGGGCGAGGGGGCAGGGAAGCCGCGGGCGGAGGCGGAAGAAGCGCAGUAGCGGGCGGACGGAGCGGGUCGCUGUCGGCGGAGGUCGGCGGGUUGGUGGAGGCGGCGCCGGGCCCGCGGAUGCGGAGGCGCGCGGCGUCGUACGCGGCCGCAGCCUCCUCGGCGGUGUCGAAGGUGCCGAGCCAGACGCGGCGGCCGCGCUGUGGAUCGCGAAUCUCCGCCGCGAAUUUGCCCCACGGCCGCCGCCGCACGCCCCUGAACCGCACCCCCUCCACCGCGUCCUCCUCCUCCUCCCCUCCUCCGCCGCCGGUCUGGAGCAGGACGCGGCUGCGCUUCACGCUCACCGCCUCCCCCUCGCCCUCCUCCUCGUCGUCCUCGUCCUCGCUGGACGACGAGUCGGUGGCGUCCUCGUCGUGCACGAUGAUCCGCACCACCCGGCACCUCGGCGCCGCCGCGGUAGCAGCAGCCCUCGCCACCUCCUUCACCUCCACCUCCCCCACCUCCGCUUCCGCCUUCAUCUCCUCCUUCACCUUCAGGCUAGUAGGGUCCAUCCCCACGCCUCGGCACCCUCUCCUCACCCCAUACACACCGCUCUCACCACCGGCUCAGCCCACCAUCGCGGCGGCCAUGGGCGCGCCUCAGCUAGGGCUAGGGCUCCGAUCUGCUCCGGCAAGCAACAAAUCGGCGGGCGCGGCGAAUUUCGGGAGGCGAGCGGGAAGAAGAGAAAGCAAAGGGGAAAUUGGGGACAGACUCGAGGAGGCGAGGAAGGGGAAGAGGCAUUUUAGCUCAACAGAGGCAGGGGCGCUUCGGUAAUUCCGCGGUGGGGGUGCCUUGCAAGGAAUCUCCGCCUCAGGGCGUGGGGUGCCCACGUGGCGGGGCGGUCGCCGUGCGGGGCAUAUUCGCUUGGGAACGGGAGGAGGGGAGGCGGGGGAGGGCGGAAUGACGGGGGUGCCCCCUGGGUUGGGUUCGGAUCUCGAAUAUUCGGGUGGGUUCAAAUUUCAAACGGGGGUUAAAACCGGUUAGGGGUGCGUGUGGGAGUUUUCAGGGAGGGGACCGUUUCUAGAAGCUGCUGAAACUGCUGGGCUUGAACAGGCUCGGCUCCAGCCCGAAGAACGGCAGGUUCAACUUGUGCUUCAAGAACUUGGCAAACCUUGAAAAGAAAGAAAUACGUGCUCCCCCGUUACAUAAUUAGAUGCGGGUCACUAGUUUAAUCAUGUAAUAUUAUCGUAGCAACUAAGAUCUGUUUGAGUAUAUAAGAUGGCCAAAAUGCCCUUCCAAAUAAAUGAGCAGAAUCAGGUGUCUAAAUGAUUUGACAUGGACACCUCAACUUCAGAGGGGUUUGGGACUUGGGACUAGGAUAUAUCUCGUGAGGGCAAAAUAGGAAAUCGUAUGUUUAUAUGAGCGAAAAAUGUAAAUGGGUGAAAACUGACAAAUGUUCGUGCUCGAAGGCUAGUACUCAGCAUGUCCUUUUCGAAAAAAAAAGAAAGGUAAUAUAAGAAUUAGUUCUCCAGGUUACCCUGGACUAAACUUUAGUCCAUCCAUUUUGACCCUUUUUAAUUCCUAAAAUGUCAAAUAUGUAGAUUAAAAUAUGAACUAAACCUUUUAGUCCUCUAGUUCAAGGGGCGUGGACUAAAGUGAACUAAAAAUCCUGAAAGACACCCCUGCUCCUCAUUUACUGCCCAUCCCACCCAUCCCGAACCUUUUCUCCCCGCCGCUCUCUCCCCUCCCUGCUUGCAUCCGCCUCCAGAGCUCAGCCGCGCUACCCCAUCGGCCACGUCGGAGCUCGGCCGGUCCCCGGUCGCUACCUGCCGAGCCUCACCUCCCUCUCUCCCUGCAGCCUGCACCACGCCUCCUGGCCGCCGCCUGCCGUGCCUCACCUCUCUCCCUCCCUGCAGCCCGCGCCAAGCUCCCCGGCUGUGCCUCGCCUUGCCUCCCUCUUUCUUCCUGCCUGGGGUUCAAGCACCGGAGUUGAAGAAGCUCCAGCUGAGAGGCGGCGGCAGCACGACCUCCGCCACCGGCACCAGCCGCCGAAGGUGCGUGAUGAAGGGGAACGGGAGGGUACAUAGUGAAUGAUUAGGGGUAUUAUCGUAUUUGUUCAUCUGCAUUAACAAACAGGGACUAAAGUUUAGUUUAGUCCACGUACUAAGCGGGGCUAAACAUGGGUAGCACCUUCUUACUUGUUUUUUAAUUGAAAAUAAGACUGCCUUGUUUCUCCUUGAUAUUACCUGUUUAAAAGGCAGCGUGGGUAGUGUUUAUGAGUUUGGUGAUCGCAACACCUUUACUAUUAAAAUAUUAUAUUUUAAAAAACUCAGUGGGACCACUUCACCAACAAAAGGCAGCCUAGGCUUCAACCAACUUUUUAUUUGUCUAUAGGACCUAAAAGCCCGGAGCUGCUUCUAACCUUUGGCUGUUUGCUCUCCCUCUAGGAUUAGGGCUAUAUACUUUUCAUUUUUUAUACGAACACAUUGGAUAAUUUUCAUGUAAACACAUGCGUGACUGCAUUCAGACAUACUCUCUCCAUUGCAAAAUAAGUGUUUUUUUACAUUUAAAUUUUAUCCCACAAAGCUAGAACCUGAGCCGAUAUUUUCAUUCGAUGUAAUGGGACCAGAAAAGUCACUUUGCACAGUCCUAGUAGAAUCCCCUAAGCUCGUUGUGACCCUGAGAAAUGCAACAAAACAUUGUGCCCUUUAGCCGACCUUGUUUAGCACAUGAUACACCUGCAGUGCACAAUCAUUUUCUCUGUUGACAGUUGCCUGCAGUACAGCUGCAUCUUAACUUGACUCUGGCUCUACUAGUAUAGCAUAUAUAUUUAAAAACUCAGUCUACUGGAUCGUGACAUACAUACAUAUUUAACAUGCUGCCUAGUUGCUAUGGUAUAAGCCAAAUUCUCUGACACUAACAAGUGUACAAGAUUUUCUGAUGUGUCAUGUGUGGUCCAUUUCUAUUGGCAAAACUAUAUACAGUGUCUUGGUUACAUGAGCUUGCUAAUAUCACCCAAUCACAAAAGAACUCUAGUAUAUUGCUAACGAUUAAUGAAGUGGCCUCAUUGAAAUCGAUCCGUUCUUCUGGGUUGCCGAUCGGUGGAGAUGUUGAUUCUCUCAUCUCGAAGCAUGUUCAUGCUGGGAGCUAACAACCUUGUGUAGCGAUCAAAAUACAGUAGCUGCUUCAUGAGAAGAGCGAAUUCCCGGGGAAAUUUCAGCCCGUAAGACUCGCUAACUCUCACCUGGGAGAUGCGGUAACAUGAGUGUCAGCUUUCAUUUUCUAUUCCUUAGUUUCUCAAAAAUAUUACGCAUAGCUUAGGAAAAUUCAUGAAAGCAUGGCGAAUAAAUUAAAAUCUAAACAGUGCCACCUUUCAAUUUUAGAUAGCAACAUGCACCACAUCAAGACAACUAUUGCAAUCAUGAAAAACAAUACAUAAACAGUAUGUCAGCUAAUCAUGUACUCCAUCAUGACAGCCGAAUUAUCGACAGGCCAACACACUAAGAUAUGGCUGGGCCUCAAUCCUUUGAGAAAUCCAUUUUAGAAACUUCAAUAUGCCCACAUAUUAACCCAACUAGUGAACGUAAAAAAAAAACUUCUGAGUUAAAGAAAAAAUUGAACAGUAGGAGCAAUAACAUUAUCACAGCUUAUUAUCCUACGUAAUCUUUUUCUUGCAGUAGCAGUACGCAGUGGCGAAGCUAGAGCAAAUUGAAGGGGGGGUGUGCUUGCCUUGUGGGUGCAUAAAGUUGAGUUGUAGGGGGUGCAUAUAUGGUGAAAAUUUGGACCUAACAACUGUUUUUGCAAAUUUUUGUGGGUGCAUUAGCACCCCCUAAUUUGACUAUACCCUCGCCCCUGGCAGUACGCCAGUACCAUUCUUCUGCUCUAGACAGAAUGGCCAAAGAAAGUAACUCACCAGAUCAAGAAACAGAGCAUUCAUCUGUCUCUCAUCAAGGACAACAUUAGCAGAUACAGCUGUAGCAUCAGGACCUCUUGCUGCUGCGACUAUGAUUUCAGUAUCCAAGUCCUGCUUAACAAACAAAAAACAUUAGUGCAUUUUUCCAUGCCAAAUAAGCUAAGAAUGGGGUACUAAGUACAACACAAACUAAGAAGACAAGAACCUCCAUAAAUAUAAAACUAGUCACAUAACAUUGAAGUGCAUUAGUUGCCUAUUAUUUGCAUCUUAAUUGAGGAUCUGAGAUGUAACUGUUACAACUGCAAGAUCAUGUUUCCUAUGGUAUUAACUUAAAUACAGUUUCAGCAAAAUGUUUCUCCAGAAAACAGCAAAGCACUAACAGAGUAACAGUUGAUUUAGGUCACUCAGAAGAUGGUUCAUAAUUUCCUCAAGCCCUUUUCUUCUAAAAAAGGUUGAUCGAGCCUUCAGGAUAUUAAUAAAUAGCCUACUGUCAUUUGGAAACAUUACCUGUAUUGAUGAGAAUAUCUUUCGCAAGUCCUUUGCAAAUUCAUCAAUAUUUAUAUCAUUCCCUGUAGCACCCAUUUCAGAAAGGGCAGAGGCCAUAGCAUCAUAAUCCUCAGCUGCGAAAGAAGCCAAGAAGACCUCCAUAGCAGCCCAAGUCCUUGGAGAUAUGCGACCAACAAUACCUGAAAAGAAUUAAUUUUAAUAUAAUUAUACAACUAAUGAAGAAAGUUGAAUAAAGUAGCACAAUACCACAAUCAACCUAGAGUGCUAGGAAUUUUAGUGUAUUGAGCAAGAUUUUAAAUAGCGGGCUAUAGCGCCGCUAUAGCCCGCUAUUAGCGUUGCAGAGGGUUCCCGCUAGGAUAAGGCACUUUGCACCGCUAUUGCAGCUAUGACAGCUAAAUCGCGAUUUAGCGGCGCUAUGUUGCUUAGCGAUUGCAGUCAUUUAGCGCCGCUACGCCUGAAUCUGCCUCCGCCCACUGCUACUCCGCUGUUCCAAGGAGCUGUACUGCUGUCCGAUGUCCCAUAGCUCAUCCUCUGCUCACCGAUGGAGGCCGUCAAGGUGAGGCCGGAGUCCACCAGGAAGAUGGCCAUGGGGCUCCGAGUUCCUGCAGUCCCGCCUCUGCUCACCGUUGGAGGUCCUCCAAGGUCAGGCCGCAGUCCGCCAGGAAGAUGGCCAUGGGGGCUGAGGGGUGGAGCAGCGGCAGGGGGCAGGAGGCAGGGAGAGAGCACUGGCACGUGUGCGUGAGGUGGGGCCGUGGGGGAGCUCCGGAACAGCACAUCAAAAGGGAUCCCAUCAAAAGGGGGCGCAAGGUCAAUGAAGGUGCAGCGGCACUGCGACAGGGAGUAACGGAAGGCAGAUAAUGACUAGCAGUAGACCAGUAGCAGGCCGUGCAAGAAACUGGAUAAGGCCCAUGAACCCAAGCCCAGCAAAAUGAUUUACAGUUGUUGUAUGUACGUGUACAGUUGUAUUGCUGGUUUUGGCCUUCUAAUUUCAUGCAUAUUUAUUCAUUUAUUUUUUAUAUUUAUGUAAUCCGCUAAAUAGCUUAGCCCGCUAUAGCUGCAUAUAGCUUUUGGAGAAGACUGCCGCUAAACUCUAUAGCCCGCUAUUUAAAACCAUGGUAUUGAGAGGUAAAAGACAACCCUAAGUUGUGUGGCAUGGUUCACGCUCCAUUACAUUUACAAUGUAGAUAAUCAGCCAAUGUAAAAACUACUACCGGGAGAAAUGGCUAAAGCAUACCGAAAUCAAUGAAACCAAUUCGCCCAUCACGGAGCAACCAAAGGUUCCCAGCAUGCACAUCGGCAUGGAAGGAUUCACACGAAAUCAAGCUUCCAAACCUGCGAUAUUUUUGCAUUUUUCAGAAGCUCAAACCAUGGCAUUACAAAGUUCAAAAGGGAAAAAAAACUCAAAAUUGUAUGACAUCACAAGAUAAAGUGAAGCAGCUGUGUAGCUUACCAGACAUUAAGGGCAGUGACUAAAGUCAACUCAGGAUCAGGAACAAGAGACCUUAUAGAAUCAAGGUCAGUAAGCGGAACUCCGUACAAUCUUUCCAUAGUCAACACACGUUUUGUGCUACAGUGUUGAUACACAAAUGGGGCUUUUGCCUGCCUGUCAAAUCCCAUAGCAUCUAUGUAUCCCUGAAAAGCCUGAAUAUUUGCAGCCUCUUUUCUAAAAUCAACUUCUUCAAGCAUUGAUUCCUUUAUAUCCUUGACAAUGCCUACCUAUAAUAAAAAAUCUUAGUCAAGAUGAUGUUUAUUAAUUAUACACUUUGCAGUUUGUCUAAUUCAUUGAAUGACAAUAUGAAGGCUGAAUUUUCUUUUUUCUUAACAAAACUUAGCAAAAUAUAAAGCAGAUUUCAUAAUGCUUGCUGGCCCCACUUCAAUACAAAAAAAACUCGACCUGGGGGGGGGGGGGGGUGAGGGGGGUUAAGACAGCCCCACUUCAAACUUCAAUACAUAUGAACUAAGUUUUCUUGAUUUCUGAUUAUAUUGUGCAUAUCAUGGAAGUUGUUACAUUUCUGCCUGGACGCAGCCUCAAUAUCUAUCUUUUUUUUUUGGGAAAGGAGACCACUAUGCUUUUAUUGAAAGCAAUAACAGGUUUAUGAAAAUUCACAAACUUCUGGGGUUGGCAGUUACACUAUGAAGCCACACAAAAGGAUGAACCAAGCAAACUAUCUUAUUACAUGCCAGACUAAAUUGAAACCAUGUUGGAGGUCAAGGCAGCACUUUAGUUCAGUCAUUCCCCAACUUUCUUCACAAUCCCUUUAGUUUUGUCUUGAUACAGCCUCGAUAUCUAUUAUUAUCCUCAUGCAACAUCCCUAAUUAAACAACUCUAUUCAAUGUUUAUACUCAAGAUCUGUUAACUUUUUGUGUAUUGCUUGAUGCACUUAGAUGCACAGAUUCUAGCACGAUAAUAAUUUGAUGAUGAAUUCAGCUACAUUGCUCUUCAGAAUAUAAAUCCCCGCAUGCUCCAAGAACCAUUUGGUCCAGAGAUUGUUUUGUACAAUAACAUAUGGUUCAAUGCUGAUAAUGAUUUUUGUUACUUUAACUAAAGAAAGCAAAUUGAAGGAAGAGCAUCUGAUUAAAGAAAAAAUAUAAUGUUAUGAAACAGUCAAGUAUCUGAUCGCACAUGAACUUCAUGAUUAGGAGAGCAUUUACCAGUGAUGUCCUCUGUAGCUCAGGGUUCAAGAACUCCAAAAUGCGUGCAACAACAUAGAUAAAAUUCAGAUCAGCGACCAAAGUGUCUUCAAUACCAGGCUUUAGAACUUUAAUCACCACAUCCUUCUGAGAACUCUUCAACCUAGCCCCAUGAACCUGAAUGACAAUGAAUUAUCUCAAUGCUUCAACAGCAGACUGCAAGACUGCAUAAUGUAAUCCAAUAGGUUCUGGGAGAAACCUGUGCAAUUGAGGCAGAGGCUAUUGGCACAUGAUCGAUGUAUUCAUAUACACUAUCUAAUGGCCGCUGCAACUCCUCACGCAAUAUUGACUCAAUCACGUCAUAUGGGACAGCUGGUGCUCGGUCAAAGCAGUUCUGGAAUUCCUCGACAUAUUCUGCAGGAAACAAAGUUGGUGCAGAUGCUAUGAACUGCACCAUCACACAGUCCGUUGACUAUCAAUACCCAAAUAAACAGAAAUUGUACAUCUUUUUCAAUGGAGCAGAAACGGUACAUAACCAUGGAAUCAGAAAAUUAUUCAGACUCAACCCCCGCACCCCCUCAAAAGACCAUCCAAGAGAAGGUAAUAUGUUGACUUCAAUUCAAGUCUAGUGAUCAUCUAAGGAUGCUAUUUUGCAUGAUCUUGUUCUUGUUCAUUAAGAAGUUCUUUCAUUUACCGUGUAUACAUAAUUAUUACAACUAAGAAUGUCAUUACACAUUAAGAAAUUUAAAACAUUUCUAUUGGUUAUCUAAUAUAUUAGGGAUUGCCAUCAAUCAUAGAACAAAGUUCGAAGAUGCCCUUACCUGGCCUAGCUUGAUAUAAGUUGCACCCAUGCGCUCAAAAAGUCUUCUAAGGUAAAGGGGAGAAAGCAAACCAAGCUGCAUCUGAGCUGGAAUUCCUGCUGAUGCAUUAGCUGUCUGCAAUAGAUUAAGAGAACAAAAUUAUAUUCCUGCUGAAAUUAAAAUCCAAAUCACUGAUAAGAUCUCAGUAAAAUAUGAGUUACUCAAAACUCAGACUCUGGGUAACUUGCAACGAUGAAACCAAAAUUCCAUCUCAACCCUACUAAUGUCCCUAAAAGCUCACCCAACUCAUUCAAUAAGUUCGGUAACAGUUUGGUGCUGAUCCUACCACAAUCCGCUAUGACUCUUUGACCCCUCAACGUACAAGCAUGUAUCCAAAUGGGUGUGAAUGUUGGAAUGUGCGCGCCAUAGAUGCGUGCAUGUGUGAUUUUCUUAAAUCAGCAUUUCCUUUAUUUCACAAGUGACCUUUCAUCUAAUGAUUCCCUCCCUUUUGGGAGGCCUACAAGAACAUUUGCAGGUUCAAUCACACCAGAAGAUAUGCGAAGACAAUACUAAAGCACAAAACAGGAAAAUGUUCGAACCUUUGAGAGGUCAUUCAGCCACUCCCCACCAACCCCAAGCACAGCUUGGAUCCCUUGCGCCAUCCUGAAAGCACCUCGAGGUCCUGUGCUAAUUGAUGUCUGGAGAAGGUCCUCGACUAAUUUAGGUAACUCACCAACUCUAUCUGCAUUUAAAUGAAAAAAAAAAGAGCGAAGUAUGGGAUGUUAAGCUCACAAAGAACAAACAAACUUGAAAUCCACAUAUUCAUCCCCUUUUCACUCCACCCAACAGAUCCCCAUCUAUACUAUCAACAGUGCCAACCACCACAUACAUAUGAUAUUCAACAUCUUCAUUUCCCAUCACUCUGACACCCUCCCUCCUAGCAAACUAGAUGACAUUUAUACGGAAAUAACAGAAUCAGUUUUUAGCAAAGAACAAACAAACUUGAAAUCCACACAGUCAUCCCCUUGCCACUCCACCCAACGGAUCCCCAUCUUCAUUUCACAUCACUCAGACACUCUCCUACCUAGCAAACUAUAUGUCAUGGAUACAGAAAUUACAGAAUCAGUUUUAGCAGAAGACGAGGUACGCCAGGUAGUAACUACAGCCACGGGGAUGAAUCAAAAUCAAUUGAUUACCUUGGAGGCGCGUGGAUAAGUCCUGGGCCUGGGAGUAGCGCGCGAAAACCCUGACCCCGACCUGGGCCCGCCUCCGCCCCUCCCGUCCGCGUCCGGCCCCAAUCCCGGCCCCACCCACACGGAGCGAGCCUCCCCCGCCGGACGGCACCUGCAACAGACCCCAGUCAAUCCGCCAGCCGCGUCACGCAAUCUACUCGAAGAAAACCUCGCUCCAGCGCCAAUGGAAUCCGGAGCAGCUGAACGCAGACUCUCGUGUGAAAUGGCGAGAUGAGAGAAGAGGGGAGAGGUGGGGCGGGACGGGCAGCGGGCUUACCUUGGGGACGCGGCGGUGUUGGUGGAUGAGGAGAGGGGAGCGCGCCGCGGAAGCGCACCUCGCGGCCGCCGCCAUAGUGGAGAGGAGAGAGUGGGUGGGCGGCUCGCCGGCGUCGGGCUGCGGCGGCAGUGUGGUCAAGUGUGAAGGGUGUGGGCUGGGUUUUUACUUUUUUGUGCCGGGGUCUUAACGGGUGUAACGGCGGAGGAGGCGACACGUGUGCAGGGUAGUGGCCUCGCUUCUGUUCCGUUCCGUUCCGCGCCGGCCAACGGCGUCGCGUGAUAUUCUUGGCAGGUUCCGCCCGCGUGAUACUGGUCAGAAAUUCAGAAAUCCUGAAUCCUCUUUGCUUCUCAUGUGUCCCAUGAUUUGCAUGUUAUAACUAAAUUACCGUAUCAAAUCUCAUGUCUCAGCUUGAGCGAGAUUUACUGUUAGGAAAGAAUUUUUCAUAAAUCUUUCAUAUCCCCGUACCGUUGCAUUUUUCCGUUUCUCCAUUUUUGUUUCUUGGAAAAUCGAAGUUUCCUGAUGUGAACAUCAUGUGAUACUCGCUUAGCGGCUUAGGCACUACACAAACACCUUCCAAACAUACUGUUCCAAGUUGUAGAGACGGGUUCUUGCUGGAAUUGCAAAACAAAAAAAACUCACGAGUAAACAGUAACCUUUUGUGGCACAAACUAACAACGAAUUUUAUGUUGUUCAACAUCGCACAGAAAUGAUGCUUUAAAUACUUAGGCCGUGUUUGGAUAGCAGGGGCUAAAGUUUAACCCUGUCACAUCGAAUGUUCGGAUGCUAAUUAGUAGGACUAAAUAUGAGCUAAUUAUAAAACUAAUAGCAGAACCCCUAGGCUAAAUCGCGAGACGAAUCUAUUAAGCCUAAUUAAUCCAUCAUUAACGAAUGGUUACUGUAGCAUCACAUUGUUAAAUCAUAGGCUAAUUAAGCUUAAUAGAUUCGUCUCGCGAUUUAGCCUAGGGUUGUGUAAUUAAUUUUGUAAUUGGCCUAUAUUUAAUACUCCUAAUUAAUGUUCAAACAUCCGAUGUGACAUGGGCUAAAAUUUAGCCCAUGCCUCCCAAACACCCCCUUACAUUAGCAGCUGCAGCCGCUGAUUGCAUUACAUGUAACAUCAUUACGAGUAAAAUGCAUCUCGAUGAGUUCAUCUCCUUCAGUGCUGCCAAGAUAGUGCCCAUCUCCAGUUAUGCCAGCACUUGAAACUAAUUUUUCCUUUGGAAAAAAAUCUAGUGGGAAUGAUUUUACCAGUGUAUAGAAAAAUUAGAAAAGCUACAAAAACUCCGAACUGGCAAAAGACCACUAUUGUUGUUCCCCGAAAGCUGGAAAUCACUUCCGCAUUAAUAAUCGAAUAAUUUGUCAGUACAGACUAUGAAGUGAAAACAGCCUGCCCACAGAGAACAUUAUAAGACUAUAGUGGUCUUUAGCAGAUUUUCAUAUGGUCGGCCCCAAACUACACUUCCAGUCCAGACAAACGGAGCAUAACUCCAUUCUUAUCCUUGUUAGACUUCCUCGACCUGUAAAAUAGAAGUUUUACACGUUGUCAUUUAUUAUUUAUGCGAACAAGACAGAGGCAAAGUUGCUAAAAUAUGCAGAUAGCAGGUCAGGAACCUUUCUGCCAGCAUAAUCACUGAAAAGACUUCAUCAGUGUUUCAGGUAAAAUAUCCUUACAACUAAAGGCAUCACAUUGAAACGAACAGCAGGUUGUUUAGUCAAAAGAAUCAAUAAGAAUGCCUAUCCUCAUGGUCAAAAUAUGUUGCUGGAACCUUACAAAUGACACUGAGCAUUACAUGAAGAAACUUGCAAAAGGAUCUUGGUUUGUUUGUUUUUGAGAUAAUUUGGCUGCUUAGACAAAUUGGUAAAUCAUUGCUUCAGGUUUGUUAGCCAAGCACGAACAACGGCUUGGUGAAAUGGAAACCAAAAAUUGCCUAUUUGAAAUGUAUUAACUUAAAAACUGUGAAGUCAUUAGGACAACUUUGGACAGCAAUUUGAAAUACAGCAAGAAUUUGAAGGCUGUCUGCGGAAUAAAGUAAAUUUGGUACAGUGAAUCAAAUGUUACAUCAAAUGGUUUACCUGAGGAAGAUUCAUCAACUCCAUAACCGCCUUCUUCGGAGUCAAUUCAUUAUCAAUUAUCCGCGCUACCGCAGUCAGGACUGGCAUUUUGACAUUGUACUUCUGAGCUAACGCAAUGACAGCCCCAGCAGUUGAUACACCUUCAGCAACCUAAAGGCAGAAGAAUACAGUGAAUUACAAAUCAAAAUCAUACAGGUCACAUUUGAUGUCAUAGAAAGAAUGCAGCCCACCUGAUUCAUCGAACUCAUGAUUUGGUCGAGUUUUUCGCCUGAACCAAGACGCAGUCCCACAUUUCUAUUCCGUGAAAGAUUGACAAAACAUGUAAGCAUGAUGUCACCCGACCCAGACAAACCAGAAAGAGUUAUCGGCUUCGCUCCCAUCUUCAAUUUAAGAAGUUCAUCUCAGUGAAUGUGGCAAGUUUUCAGACUUCACAAGCAAGAGAAAUGCAGAUGAUAGAUAUUGCGGACCUUUGUUGCCAGCCAUCGUAUUUCUGAACAACCUUGAGCAACAAGGGCAGCCAUACAAUUAUUCCCAAGAUUCAUACCUUCCACUAUACCUGCUGCUAUAGCAAGAACAUUCUUCAGCGCACCUGCAAUUUCUACUCCUGUAACAUCACUGAAGUACCAUAGGUCACAUUCAAAUAUUCUUCUGAUGUUACAAUAUAAUAGCUCUACUAAGGUAACUCUUCCAUGUGGAAUAUACUAGUCGUAAAUUUUAGACUACUAGUUUAAUUUUAGCUGAAAGCUGAGGAAAAAUCCUUGAGCUUUUCUUUCUGUACUAUUGAAUGACGUUCUGGAACUCAGCAAGUACCACACUUAGGAAAAAAAAAUUGCACAGAUUAUAGUAUUUUUUUUUAAAAAAAGGAUCUAUAGUAUUGUUUUUAUUCCUCUGAAUUUAGCAUAUGGGUCAUUUUCUGUGUUUUCUUAACAUAGAAAUCAAAGAGUACUGUAAACAGAUGAUCACAGAUUCACUAUUUCAUUCAUGCUUGCCUCUCUCAUCUCAUCUUCUCUACUAAUUUCCAUAAAAAGAAGUCAUUUUUUUGUAAAAGAAAAGGUUUUGCAUGUUAUAAAGUUGGUUGUCAUACCCUUGGUGAUUAAGUCUUGGAACUAGGCAUUUUUACCUUGAUGUGCUUAUCCUCAAAUUUGGGGAAGCUAACAGCUGCUGAACAGAACUUGCCAACUUUUUGUCUUUUGAUGCCACCACCAUCGCUGCAAUUUCAAAGUUAAACAACCAUGAUCAUCAAUCCAAAUUAGCAGAUUCAAAGUUCUUAAUUAAAGGAAGAAAUAAAAAAGGCUAGUUACACAUAUAUUAUUAAAUACUAGUAGGAUAGCUUGUUUAAUUGUAUGAUUUCACACCUAUGAUCAAAGGUGAAGUUGUACAAGAUCUUUGUUAUUUGUUAAAAAUACUGUAAUAAAACUGUAGUUGCAUUUACUAUAUUUACAGUACAAUAUGGUCGCAACAGAAUAAGUAGCCAGACUCUCUGUUUGCUCUCGAUUGAUGAGGCUCUUGGAUUCUUUCAUCACCCCCACCCCCCACCCCGGCCCCCCUUCAGAUUUUCUGAUUCUUAGCAUUAUUAUGGUGCCAAAUUUGUGUUCAUACUUCAUAUACAGAUAUGUGAAAAGAAAAGUUUAAAAGAAUUCAUGUAGAAAUAUAUUACCAUCAAUCAACAUAGAGCCUGAAAAAGAUAAAACAGGUUAACAAUAUGAAAAAUGACAGCAAACCUGUAGGCAAUUUGUUCAUUAGUUCUACUGCAAAAGAAGGUCCUGAUAGAACAAUAAAUGGUUGGCGGCGGUUUCCCAAUGCUCGUGGGAUGAUUUUAGACAUUGUCCGAAGGGUAUUGAGUUCCAGCCCUUUGCUAAGUGAUAUGAAUGGCAACUUUGGAUCAACAUGUGUUGAAAUACUUUCAAGAAAGGAUGAACUGAACUGCCGCAAAAAAUAUCAGAGUCAAAAAGGACGAAAUCCCUGCAGAAAGCACAAUGCUUCAUAAAGAAAUGUGAAUACCUGAACCGGAACAGCAUGGAAGCAGAAAUCAGCUCCUGCUAAAGCAUCAGCAGCACUUGUUGUUGCAACAAUAUUUUCUGGCAAUCUGUGUUCUGGUAAGUAUUUGCUGCAGUAAAAUGACAAGUUGUAAUGCAGACGCACUCAUAAUAUUUUCCCAUAGAAAUGAAAACAGGUAUUUAUAAACAUGAGUAAAAUAGUUUUACCAUUUUCUCUUUUACGGGAGGCCAAAUAGUAUAUCUACAUGAAUUGCAAUUUAGCAUAUUCUCCAUAUAUAUAUCAAAAUUCAUCUCCAUGUUGCUAGCAAAAUGGACAUUUAGGAUAAAUAAGUUGGCACACAGUUAUAUGUGCUCUUGAAUUCAAGUCAGUUUAAAUCAAAUGUGGAAUAUUUGAACAUUCUCAUUCCUCGGCAACAAUGUCCAUCAGAUAUAUUUUUAAUCUAGGACUAUUGCACUUUCAGGAACAACAUCAAUGGGAAUGCACAGUCAAAAUUGAUGCUAAACGCUUGUGUACUUAGUUUUCUCAAUCCGGCCGAUGUUCAUCAUAAGAAUGGGAUGAUCUCAAACUCCCCGUGCCAUGGGUGCUGAUCAAGAAUCUAAAUUUUGAUUAAUAGAAAUAAGUAUCUUUCCUAGAAUUUAAUGGCAGAUGCUCCGAGAGUAAAACAAGAAUGUAACAAACUGUUUCCCCGCACCUAUCAAGAAAGGUUCAAUGGGGGCAGCAACGUUUACGAACCAAUUGAUAUGGCUGUGGUUGAUGGACCGGCAGACGAAAUCGUCCCUGACCAGCAUGGACACCUCGAGGUCGGCCUUCUUGGCCGCCACGUGCGCCGCCAUGGCCGUCCCGAACGACCCUCCCCCGAGAACCACCAGCUGCAAAACCCACCCACACCCAGUCAGCCUCUCCCAAUCAGAUCCUGCAAUGCAAAGGAAGUGAAGCAUCCCGGCCCGGAGAGCGCGCGCGCGAGCCUAACCUUACGCGUGCUCUCGAGGACGUCGCUGCGGUUGCGGCGGCGCCAGAAGCGGGACCACCGGACCAGCUUCUCCCACGCGAUGCGCACCGCGCGGCGGCGGUCCUUGCGCGCGCUCCUGCGCGGCGCGGCGGCGUCGCCGUCGUCGUCGUCGCUGGAGUCCUCGUCAUCCGGCAUCGGCACGGCAUCGGCGGCGCCCGUGAAGAUGGGAGGAGGGCGGCGGACGGCGGCGGCGAGGCGGGGGCGAGGUGUCGGGAUGGGAGGGAGGAAGGUGGUGGUGGCGGCGGCGGCGGCCAUCGGAACGGAGAGUCGGAGAGAGGGCAAUUUUGCGCGGCCUCGUUUUGUUAUCUUAUCCGUUCCCGCCUUUUGCAGCUUCGCUUCUUUCUCUGUGUUUUCAUUUCAUUUCUUUUCUUUUCUUCUCUUUCUUCUCUUUUUUUUAAAAGACUAUAUUUACCUGAGCAUUUUCUACCCUGUGCUUCAGCCUUGGUUAUUCAACUUCAUGGUUUUUUACUAGGUUAUUCUGAUUCGGUUCUGCAAGGCUGGGUAACCUAAAGUAAACUAUUUACGGUGGCGUAGAAACCAUUUACAUGUAACAAUUUUGUUACGCAGAAACGCUUCUUUUUUGGUCCGGUUGGAUAGUGACCACUUCAUCAGAUGCCCUGGAUUAGCUUUGCAACUGAUCAAUUUUUGUACCCCGAUAAUUGUUUCCCUCCUCUGCUUUUUCCAAGCUCCAGUUUCCAGAAAUGACAGCUCAGGCAUAAUUUACCUGCUACGCCGCACAAAAGCCUUUUCCUAGCCGCAUUUGCAAUGUGGUUUCAGGUGGAAUACAACCUAAUUCACAAAACCACUCAUUACGCUUUCAUAACCACUUUAUGCAAACCAUAUACGAGCAAACAUACCAGGAAAUUGAAAGUGACACUUUUUCAUAAGGAGAAUACCACAUACAGAUUCGUUCAUAUCAAAUGCAACACGGCCAAAACGCAGACCAUGCAACUGCAACCAGUAUAACCAGUUGACACCGACACGGAUGUAAAGACCAAAAGAUAGCAUUAGCUCUUGAUGAUUUUCAUUCAAAACCAGAUGACACCACCAUAAACAAAAAAAUUCAGAUGUCCAAAUUGCUCGUACCCUCUUGGCUCACCUAGUAAAGUGUUCUAAUUCUCCUAGCAACUAGCAAGCCCCAGAACCAAGCAAUCAAGCAUAACAUUAAGCCCAGGUCCAAAAUGCAGAACAUCACUGAAACAUGCUAUAUCUAGUGCGAUUUGACAUACUCCUGCACUAUGUUAAGGCCCUCAGAUUCUUCACCAUAGUCCUGGUAAUCAAAACAAAGCAGCAAGACGUCAUGUUUGCUGCCUACGUAAACCAAAAUAGUUACUUGCAAUAGGACAGGACAGUAAGUGAUUGACAUGUUACCUUGACAACGACACAGGAGCAGCCAACAACCUUCCUUGCCUUGCCCUCAGAGUCAAUCUUGCAAAGCUGCAAAGCACCAUAAGGUGAAUCUUGUUACAAUCAAGACUCAACUUCGUACAACAGAAUGCAGUAGAAUAGCAGCACACAGCAUGGCGGAGAAUGGCAUGCUUGAGAAAAUUGAAGCAACUGAACAAAAUAAAAACGAACUGUAAAGCAUAAAAUUCACAAACAAUUAGUAAAAUUUCCCCUGUCAAUAGGAGGUGGAGAAUUGUAAGCCACAAAAUGAAUGCUGUAAUUAAUAAUCCAGUAACACCAUCUAGGCAGCAAUAGCAAUACUAUGUAGAAAGAAGCAGAUGCUCUACAGAAGGAUUUUCUAACUUACCCCAGCCCACUCGCCAAGAGUUUUAGAGGCAGGCACAGUGACCAGGUGCACAUUGUGCUCAGCACAGAGUGCCUUCACCAGCUUGACAUAAUCAGGCUGGUCGCAGUCCUCAGCAAGCACGCAGAGCUGAGCGACAUGCUUCUCAAUGGCCUUGGCAGCCUCACGAAGACCCUUCACGAGCCCAUCGUGAGCGCUUGACUUCUUCAUCACGAGCUGCAGAGCAGUCAUCAAGUCCAUCGGCUCUCCAAGAACCGGGGUAGGUGCCUCAACUGCAACCGGAGCCUCCUGAUCCCUGCCAAAUCAUAAAAUCUUGGUGAGUUGAUUGCCAAGCCAUAACUCAAACCGCUUGUAUCUGUUAUUAGGCUGCUCAGCUCUAAUCAACAAGCAACAGGGAAAGAGGCACAGGGCGGUAAGAACUUAAAUAUAUGGUUUAAGCCCAUUGCUACACUUAUUAGUAGGCUACCAGUCUUGUUAUCUCAAAUCAACAAAGAUAACACAUUCAUCUCUCACGAUUGGUUAAACUGGUACACUAAAUUUGAGGCAAGUCUUACCAUAUGUAAACAUGAUCCAGGUGUAAAUCGAACCCAAUCAGCCACCCAAUUAGUAGUCAAAACCAGCAAUUUCUUGUGUGCCAGCAACUAGAAGUUUAAAUUGCACAAUGAAGUGAUUUGGAAUUCUAUGCUAGAAACUACAGCAAGAUAAAAUACUUAUCACCCAACAUCCAAGAAACAUCGAUGCACUCUGCCAGAAAACGUCCCUCCAGGCCUCCACCAAAUAAACAGGACUAGCGCGCCAUUACACAGCUCUACCGGUGCGAUGGUUGUGCACAAAUUAAAUCACUCACGGUUGGAACGGAGACCAAACAGAAACUUUCCAUCCCAAGCAGUACAUUCGGCACAGACUGCAACUAAAUCUACCGAACUACUACCACGACACUCUCAAAAUAGAGCAGGCAUAUCGCAAAAGACCGGCAACAGUUCAGCGCAAAACAUCUAGAACGAUCUCGCACCAAAGCAACCAGGACCUAAAACUUCUUUCACCGUUCGCGAAACCAAGAUUUAAGAAACGGGCAGCUACAAAGAUUUCGAUGGGGGAACUUACGCCAUCUCCCGCGCUGCGAAGGGGACCCUGGUCGGAUGCGAAGGUAGAUCUGGAGCAGGCAAGCGAAAGGUUAGUAGAGAUUAGCAAGAGAGAUGGAAGGAAGAAGAAGUGACAGGAGCGCGCCGCCACCUGGGAGGGGAGGAGGGAGCUGAGCAGCUGCUAGGGUUUUGGCGAGACGGCGGGUGGAGGGUGGUGCCUAGUGUGUGGACUUGUUGUAUCGCGGCUCGCUGGGGCGGGCCAUUCCGGGCCUUCGUGGGCCUAAUGUUUCUCUGGGGUCUGGGCUUAGUUCACUGCUCCAUUUAUUUUUAGAUUUAAGGUGUCGUUCAAUUAAUAAUACUGAUCCUUUCAAAAACAAUACUGAUAUAAAUUAUAACUUGUUGUGACAGUUAAAAAUAAAAUAAUAUGAAUUUUGGGCUAGCGCUUUCGUGAUCCAGGUAGCAUAUUCCUGCCAACUUUCUACUCUCUCCGUCCCAAAUUGUAGAUCGUUUUGGCAAAAUAACCUACAAUUUAAAACAGAUGGAGUAGAAAUGAGAUCACCCGUAACCAUUUUUAUUAAAUGAGUUUGGUUUUUAAAAAAAAGUCAAAAUGACAUUAGGCAUUCAAUACAUAAAAUAAUUAGGGUCACCCGCAGAUGCAUCCACCCAGGCCGUGGUCCGGGGCAUGCAAACCAAGAGUAAAUUUUGUCCCUUUGCAAUAUUUCAAACUACCUCAAGAUGCAUGGUCACUUAUUGGGUCACAAUUGGAAUUGGUAAGUUUAUAUCAAACAUUAAUUCCUUAUGAAAGAAAAACAUUAAUUCAGUCUCGAUCCUCCGAAUUGAAUAGCUUGAUACAGCAUAUGGAUGAAAUGUCCAAAGUAGGUCACGCUGAUAAUCCGUCCUCAAUUACAAUAAAACGUACGUGAUGCUGAAAGUAAUUAUUCCUGACACACAUGGAUGAAUAGUUAUAAAACUAUUUGAGUUUAGCACCAACUUGUCAAUAGAUCUCAUGGAAAAUGUAACCAGGGGCGGAUUUGGCCCGGGCUGCUCAGGCUGCAGCUCGAGGCAAGCCCAAGAAAACUGAGAACAAGUUUUAUAAAAAUGCCAUAAAAAGGUCAAGCAGCCUAUUAGCCCACCCCGACGCGAGGUGAGCCCAGCAGGCGGAACCUAGCACUGGCCGGCUGGCCACGCGCCUCCCGUCCGCACUCGUCAUGCCGCGCCGCCUCCUGUGCCUCCCGUCCGCACUCACCUUCACCCCCGGCCCCGCGCCCCCGUCGGCCGUGCGCCCCGCUGCCGCCACCCGCCAGGUCGCCGCCUCGUCGGUCGCCCUUACCCCCCGUGGCCCCGCCGACCAUGCGGCCACGCCCCCACGCCGCCACCUGCCAGGGACAGUGCUCGCAAAAAGCCCAAAGGAUAGUGUUAGACUUGUUAAACAUCAUGACUUGGGCUAGGUUGAAAGGAUCUAAUCUAUUUAGGGACUUAACUGCGAAAACUAAGGGCUUAAACGCAUUACAAACUUAAACUUGGACUGGAUCUCGGGGUUAUGACUUUUCUCGGGGUCUAAACCACAAAAGGGCUUAUCUUCUUCCUCACCUAUCCACUUGGCCGGACAGACUUGCCAGCGGCGGCAGCCGGGGUCGGGGCGGCUCGCGGCUGCAGUGCUCGGCGGCAGUGCUAGGCACAGGAGCGCGCGAGACGGCCUGGGGAGGCAGCGACGCAAGGCGGCGCGGCGCAGGAGGCUGGAUGGCGGCGGUGGUGCCGCGGGCUAGGUGGCGGCGCGCGGCGCGAAGCGAGCGGGGGCGAGCGCGGCGCAGGUGGCGGCGAUGCAGCAGGGAAUCGCGGGCGCCCGGGGCGACAAGUUUUAUAGGCGCGGGGCGCGCCCUGGCGUGCGUGGCACGCCACGCCAAGAGCCGGCGGCGCCAGGCGAGCCCGGCCGCUCGGUGUCAAGCCCAAAUAGGGCUGGGUCUGAGCGGGCCUGCUGGGACGGGCCGGAACGGCUGACGCGGGUCGGGCCCACGGGAUCGGCCCGUUAGGAGGUUUUCUUUUUUUUCAGUAAUCAUUUUCCGUGUAAAUAAAAAUCCAGAAAAUCUAGAUAAUUUAUUUAAGCUACGAAAAAAUACUCUGAAAAUCCCAAAAAUUUCAGGAAAAUUCCUAGAGAUAGACUGGGACACGAGGAAUUCAAAUAAAAUACUCGGAGCUCACGAAAAGGAUUCUAGAUCCUUCCAAAAAUUGGAUUUAGCUCUUAGAAAAUGAGAAUAAAUUCCAGGAAAUGCUGGAAAAUUUUCAAAAGAAUCUAAUCAUUAUCUAUACUCGUUUUUUAAAACAUUUUCACUCAUGAAACACCAAAAUACAUCGCCAUGAAUGCAACACAUGGAACAACCUUAUUUAAUUUAGAAAAACAAAUAAUUAUUUUUCCUAUACUAAAUUUCCUGUAAAGAAAAAAAAUAAAUGUUGGAAAUUUUUUAAAAUUAUGAGAAAAUCAUUGUUUAAUUAUUCUUUUUAAUCACAUCCUGAAAUUCAAAAAUUUCAGGAUGUGACAAUGUAGCAAUGAAUUGGCAAGAAUUGUCUUCCCCAAGCCUCCGAAUCCAACAAUAGAAAUAAUCUUUGGCUGCUGCAACGAAGAGCUGUCGUCAUCCAUAAGUCUCUUGACUAUCUUAUUCUUUGGCUCAUCAAUACCAACAAGCUCAGUUGCCUUCCUGUACAUACCUUCUAAGCGAGGAUCAACAGGCUCCAAAGUUGCCCUGGCAGCAAUGUUGUCAGCCUUGUACCUAUUACGGUGCUCACUAACCUUCUUGACCUGGUCCAUGAUGUCUUUGAUAACAUUAUGGACCUUAUGGUUAGUCCUGGCCUUCUUGUACAAAUUGGUGGUCUUAGCAAUGAGCUCCUUGAAGCUGAAUGACUUGGUAUGCUCAUGCCCCUUGCCGCGCAACAUGAAGGUGUCGACAGCAUCCUCGAUGUCAUAGGAUAGCUCCCUCGCAUCACCGGCCCAGAUCUUGAUCUGCUCAUCAAGCUGGUCUGCCGGCACCUUAGACACCUUGCGGAGGGCUGCGGUUAUGCAUGUCAGCUCUUUCUCGAGUUCCUAAAUCUCUCCCUUGACACCUUUCUGCAGGUUGUAUUCACCCACCACCAGCUCCGUAAGCUUGGGAGGAGGGUGUGUUCAUUGCCCCUGUGGUGAUGUCCAUCUUGGCCCAGCUUCUUUAGUGGAAAGCACUUCUUGCGUACACAACUUUGGAAUCUCUGCACACCUUGAAUAACUAAUUUACAGCCGACUGAACUCCUGAAUAAACAAAGCAGAAAACCAUGCGGAAGACAAAAUUAAAGGCGAUCAAACAUUGGAUUCCAGCAUCAAACCAAAACUAGAUCGAUUAUUGAACGCAGUCAUACUAGUGAGCAUUACCUUGUUUAGGGGGUGUUUGGAAGGAGGGGGCUAAAUUUUAGCCCCCGUCACAUCGAAUGUUUGGACACUAAUUAGGAGUAUUAAACCUAGAUUAAUUACAAAACUAAUUACACAACCCCUAGGCUAAAUCGCGAGACGAAUCUAUUAAGCCUAAUUAGUGCAUGAUUUGACAAUGUGGUCCUACAGUAACCAUUCACUAAUGAUGGAUUAAUUAGGCUCAAUAGAUUCGUCUCGCGAUUUAGCCUAGGGGUUCUGCAAUUAGUUUUGUAAUUAGCUUAUGUUUAGUCCUCCUAAUUAGUAUCCGAACAUCCGAUGUGACAGGGCUAAAGUUUAGCCUCCUCCUUCCAAACACCCCCUUAAUCUAGCCUCAGAUGCUGCAGCGAAGGAAACAUUGGGAAAAAAUAAGUAAAGAACUGAGAUGCAAGGGAAAGCUUACCUGGAUGGAAUCAUGCAGACCUUUGCGUCCCCUUUACUGAAAAGCCUCGACACCAUCCAGUGCAGCCAUCUCUCUGGUGGGUUUCUCACCGUGCUAAUCCUAGCCAGCUGCCAGCGGCUGUGACUGACCUCACCACCGUACCUCGCAGCUGAGAGACAAGCCAAGUUCUUUUCCCCCCCAAGAGGGUGCAGCUGAUGCUGCUGCCCAUUGCCUUGGAGUGAAGACAGACGCAAUUAGCAAUAAUUGCUUAGGAAAUAUAUCUUUUGUGGAUGUCAACUUCACAACGUGCUCCGGCAACCCAAAGUGGUGACACCUUUUUUUGUGGGGGCACCCUAAAGCAGUUGAUCCAUAUCUCUAGCUUUAGCAUGAAUACGACUCCAAGGUGUGCGCUUCAAAGCCAGGGAGGGAGCACUACUGGAGAAAUGCCUUCUGUACCGGUUGGGAACCCCUUAGUACCGGUUACCGGUUUCGCAACCGGUACUGCUAGUUCGGUACUAAGGGGGCAUUUAAUACCGGUUCAAAUAACCGGUACUAAAUGGCUAUUAAAAAUAAAAAAAGAAAUCCCGGCCCCCACCCCCAGCCUCCCAUGCCCGCCCACCCGACCCCGCCACCACCGCCCUUGCCAUCCCUCCCGCCCGUCGCCCCCACCCCCACCCGCCCGUCACCCGCCGUUCCGUGACACCCUUNNNNNNNNNNNNNNNNNNNNNNNNNNNNNNNNNNNNNNNNNNNNNNNNNNNNNNNNNNNNNNNNNNNNNNNNNNNNNNNNNNNNNNNNNNNNNNNNNNNNCAAGCACUGAGCCACUAGGAUGCGAACAAAGAGAUAAGCUACCCUGGGGAGAGGAGAGACGCGAAUUAAAUGUACCCGUGACCCCUUUAGUACCGGGUGCCACCCGGUACUAAAUGGGACUACGAGGCGGGCCUGGGAGACUAGCUGUUAGGUCCGGUACUAAUGCUCACAUUAGUACCAGUCAAUUCCAAUCGGUAUAAAGGUGCUGGACAAAAGGCCAUUUCCCUAGUAGUGGGAGACUGAACAAUGAAAGGUUGUAAACAGUAGCUUUAAACCGUAUGGCAAUAGAUGUAAAGAUUAUCACGAUCGACUAAUAUAUUAAGUAAACAAAAAUUAUCAUCAUGCAGAAAAUAUUAUAGGUACACAAAUAUAAAACAAAAUACCUGCUGAACUAAAACAUCACCACAUGUCUACACGCCGCUUUAGUUACCAUUUACACCGUAGAAGUAGUAUAAAAAGAAAAGAGUCUACAUAACCUCUCUAACGUUACCCUGUUUAAUCUAGCACAAGAUUCUGCAGCGAAGGAAACAUUGGGAAAUAAUCCAGAGGAAAUCCAAGUAAACUCAUGUUGUUUCGGAGGAAAUGUGCAUCCAAAAAAUAAAUAAAGAACUGAGAUGCAAGGAAUCGUGCUAACCUGUGCGUCCCUCUACUGAAAAGACUCGACGCCAUCCAGUGGAGCCAUCUUGCUGGUUGAUCUCUCGCUGUCUCCUACCCAGCUGCCAGCAGCGGCGACCAUCCAAAGGAGAGUGGAGCUGACUGAGGCUGUUUCCCUUGCUGCCCUUUGCCUUGGGGUGAAGGUUGGAGCAAACUAGCAAUAAUUGCUAAAGGAAUAUAGCUUUUGUGGACAUCAACUUGACAACACGCUCCGGCAAACCAUAGUGAUCCAUAUCUACAAAAGAAGAGUGUAGCUUAAAGCGUCACCCUAGCUAAAGCUGAUUAUGAUUCCAAGGUGGGCACCUCAAAGCCAAUUAUGUUCCAUCAGUUCACACUGGCUGAUCCAGGAAUGGAGCAAGGGAGGGAGCCUAUAGGGUUGUACCACCCGCUACUAGGGAAAUGGCCUUAUGUAUUGGUUGGGAACCCCUUAUUGGUUGGGAAACCCCUUAAUACCGGUUUCAUAACUGUUACUACUAGUUCGGUACUGAAGGUACUAAAGGGGUCAAAUAAUCGGUACUAAAAAGUAUUAAAAAAAAUCUGACCUCCCACCGGCCCGACCCACACUGCCCUCCUGCUAGCCCUGCCGCCCUUCGUCCUCCCGACGGCCCUCGCCACCCCCACCCCGCCGCCGCCCCUUGCCGCCACCGCCCUCCCGCCCCGCCGCCGAUCCCGCCCGCUCGCCCUCCUUGCCGCGCGCCCGCUGUUGCCACCGCCGCCUCACCUCGCCCCACCGCUGCUCCUCAUUGCCAGUGAGGGGCGAGCGGAGGGGUGAGGGGAGGGGAGGCAGAGGAGGAGAGGAAGGGUGAGGGUGCUGAGAGAGAGAGAUAAAGGAGGGGGGGGAGACGGACGAACGGAUGGAUAAGAAGCGGCAGAGAGAGAGGGGGGGGAGGGGGGGAGGUGGCAGAUGGGAGCUUUAGUACCGGGUGGGAGCUUCACUAAAGGGUAGUACUGGGUGGAGCUCCCACCCGAUACUAAAGUGCUUGUGGGCCUUUAGUACCGGGUGGAGGCUCCACCCGGUACUAAAGUGGGUCACGGGGGCAUCUCGGCCUAAUUGCAACCGGCACUAAGGUGCUGGACGAAAGAUCAUUUCUCUGGUAGUGACAAGUUUGCUUCCAUGAUGAGUGUUAGCACCUGGUACGCUGGACCUCUCUUGUGGUGGAUUCUAACCGCCUAUUAGCUAAAUGGGGUACUUGGGUUAUAUGAAUAAGGAAAAUUACAAAGAUGAUAGAAUUUAGCAGUGCCACUCCAAUAAAUGUUUACAUAGUCAAACUAGUAUAAAACAUAACUACUCCCUCUGUCCCAAAAUAUAGCUACGUUUAGCUUUUUCAAAAAUCAAAUCAGUUUAACUUUGACCAACAAUACCUCUAAAAAUAAUUUUUCAAAUAGAAAAUGUUACAUAUUAUAAUAUCUGGUUUCAUGAUAAAUCUACUAACAUUAUUUUUAUGUUAUUAGUCUAUGUGAUUAUUUCUCAAUUCGCAAUCAAAGUUGAAAAUGUUUGACUUUGAAAAAAUCUAAACGUAGUUAUAUUCUAGGAUGGAGGGAGUAUCAUAUUUGAUCACUUGAGCAUUGCAUAUUUUAUGAAUUCAUAAUAUCAGUAUAAGAUUUAUGAAUUCAAAAUAUCAGUAUAAUUUUUUUCUAUUAUAUGUAGGAUGAAGGUGUUUUUGGGACCCUCAUGGAUGAACCAUGAUUGAAAAUAUAGGAAUCAGAAUUUAGCAGUGCCACUCCAACAGAUAAUUACAUCCAUGAUAUAGAAUUUAGCAGCACCACUCCAAUAGAUGUUUACAUUGCAAAUGUACCAUAAAACAUAACAAUCAUAUUUAAUCACUUGUACACUGCAUAUUUUAUAAAUCCAUAAUAUCAGUACAUGUUUUUAUCUAUUAUAUGUAGGAUGAAGUUGUUUUGGAGGGAAAAAAAGGUUCCAGAACGAAAUGUUCUACCUGGGAAGGAAAAUUGUUCCACUCAAGAAAAACUGGACUAUCAGAAGAACAAAGGUUUUUGGAUCUCACCACGGGACCGCUGUUAGUAGUAAGCUUUUGUUGUAAUUCUGUGAAACCACCAACUUGUAAUGAAGUUGAGAACCGAUAAAGAAAACGACAUUAUGAGAAAGCUUGGGCUUGCUGCCGACGCCGCUGAGUGACUUGAAAAGCUGGGCACGGCAAGCAACUCGUAAAAGAAAAUUACCAUUUUCGGAGAACAAUCAUGCUCCAUCUUUGUUUUCACAACAUCGAUGAUCCAAUUUCUUUCAAGGAAAAUAUGCCAGGUACUUCCACUCCCUCAUAUGCCUUGCUGAGUAACAUACCACCAAUUGCAAGAUCCUCGUAAAAGAAUGCUCUUUCUCCCGUAAUUAUACAACAUACACUCUUCAACUUAUUCAUCAUGUAACAAUGCAGGAGUAACUAUUACAAGAUAGGUUCAGCACACUGGAAAUCUGGAAUGCAGCAAGGCACUACAACUGAAUAACAACAGGUGAUGACGUCAGAUCAAUGAUCUUUGGGCAAACGCUGGCGACGCAGCCUCUUCUCCGCAGCCGGCCUACAGGGGUUGGGGUAACCAGGUCCACCACAUCAGCACUUCCAUCGAGGAUAUGGCCACCACCAUCAUCUGAACCAGCAGCACCGAACAUCAGCAAUGGGGACAGGUGUCCUGGCUCAUCUUCCGUGGCUGUUCCACAAUCAUCGCCACUCAGGCUCAAGGAACAUCGAGGCGAUGUUCUUGGUUCAUCCACUUCUGUUCUUAUGUCAAGGAUUUCGCUCCAUUUUCUUGGACCAAACCCGUCAAUGGGGUCUUCCUCAACAUCAGGUCCUGCAAUUCCUGUUUGCCCAACCAUUGGCUGCGCUUGAUCAGAGGACGGUUGCUGCCAACAAUGUCCAGACUGUUCAUCUUCAUCAGAGGACGGUUGCUGCCAACAAUGUCCAGACUGUUCAUCUUCAUCAGAGGACGGUUGCUGCCAACAAAGUUCAGAGUGUUCGUAUCGGAGAGGUGAAUCAGACGGUUGCUGCCAACAAUGUUGAGAGUGUUCGUCAUCUUGGAGAGGCGAAUCAGACUGUUCUUGCUGGUCUUGAGGAUCCUGGCUUAAGUCGUCGUCCUCAGAUGAGGGGCCCUCGGCACUGCACUGCAGAUCCUCCAUCGCGCAGACGACAGUCUUCAUCUGGCUCGGAAGCGACGGGCAGCCGGCGGUGAACUUGGUGUUCUUCGAGGAGAAGAAAUUCACCGUCAGGUUCAAGCUGAAACAUAGAAACAUCGCACUUCACAUCAACACCAUCCAAUAAAGAAUAAAGGAAGUGGCUUUUCUUACCUUUCCCAUGAGGGGAGGUUCAGCAUGGUGUAGGCGAGCUUGACCUUGUUGCCGAUGCCGCCGAGCGACUUGAACUCGGCCGCGGCCUUGCGCACGGCGAGGGACUCCGCCGGGUGCUGCCACGCCCACUCGAACUGCACAAGCGGACACAGAGAAACAGGGCUUUUCAGUUAGAUCAGCAAGAACAGAGCAACCGCGCUCACGACCCGGGAAAAAAAAAAGGGGAUCUUUUGAGCUCUCAAAUCCCAAUCGGUUCGAGGCUGCGAUGCCAGAACGGGAGCAGGGCGUACCUGGAGCGCGGCGACGUUGGAGGGGAAGCCGUAGAUGCAGAGCACCAUCUCCCACGGCCGCCCGCGGCGCGUCCGCCACGCGCCGCUGGCGAUCUCGCCGUUGUGCUGCCGGAUCCUCCGGCGCGGGUUCACCGUGAACCCGAUGUACGUCCGGAUCUUGCUGCGCGGGCACAGGGACCGGAGCAGGUAGCAGCAGAAGAACCCGCCGCCGGCAGCUGUGGCGGCCCCCUGUCCCUUCGGUGGCGGGCGCCCGCCUUCCGCCGCGCCGCCGGCAUCGCCGUCGCCGUCCGCCGCUGAGGUCGAGGCCUUCCUCCUCCUCGGCCUCCAGCCUCCCCUCCUGGCCAUGGAUUCUGGAUUCUCUCUCUCUCUCCUCUCUGCGCCGCCGGCGCGUGUGAUUCCGUCCGCAGAUUUUUCUGGAGAGAGAAAGGGGGAGAUUUGUGGGGGAUGAUUUGACCGUUGGAGUGUCUGCGGAAGGAGGGAGAGAAAGAGACGUUGCGCGGAGGGGAGUGGGGACACGUGUUACGUCGAAGACGCGAGUGUGGGCUUUGGUGGGCCCAAAUUUCCUGCGUGGGCAAAAGGCUCAACUCAUCAAUUAGGCCUGGUAGUGUUAUUGGGCCAGGCUUCACGGUUUCUCUCUCAUUCUCAAAUGCAACAGAAGAAACGGAUGGAUUUGAUUGGCCAAUGUGUGCUGAGGAUACUGAAGGUGGAUCCAAAGCUCGGUAAGAACUAAGAAGGAUCAGGAACGGGCACCUCUGACUGCCGCCGGCCACGGGCACUACACAUGGCAGUGGUUCGCCGGCGCCACCGGCAGCGUGCGUGGGUGAAGAAGCUGCUCCAGGAUGAUCCUUCCUCGGACGGAGGACAGAGUUCGCCGGCCGGGGUCGUCGGGUUGCAGUCACGCCCGAUGAAUGUGAGCCACUGACGCUGACGCCCAUGCGAUGCGAUGCACCGGGCAGCUAGAUCGAUCCGCCAUCGCAGGCGCGAGUCCCGCACGGCUGCACUACACUGCACGCGAUGGUUUAACGUUUCUCCCUCUGCCUCACGUCCUGAAGGAAACAAGACAGUUGAUGAUUGACUAAAUGGCUAAUCUAAUCCCCAGCCUGAUCAAAACCAGUUGCUCAUCGAGAUGUUGCAUGUUGUCGGUGCCUUACUACCAUCAGACGAAAUACUACCCUAUCCAUAAUUAAGACACACUUUGGGUUUGUCUUCAAGUCAACAAUUCAAAAAAUAAUGGUUGGUUAUAAAUUACGCUCUCUAGGUGUCAAUUAAAGAUGUUCGAAAAUGAUAAGAGUAGAUCUAUCCUGAAAUAUAGUGUUACAAAAGUAAAACAUUUGUUGCUCCCUCCUUUGAAAUUUAGGGCCAGUAGGGCUCCGGCUCCUCUGAAAAUGGCUCUGGCUCUGGCUUCUCUAGUUGAGUGGCUUCUCCGACUCUGGCUCCUCCUUUUGAAAAAAUGUUUGGCAAAACGGCUCUUCCUAUGGGUCCUCCCAAGGAAGAGGAGGAGGAGCCGGAGGAGCCACUAUUUUUAGCUCCUCCUCG